CAUAUAGUUUCAAGUUACAGAAAGGUUGUCGUUGAAAAAUGCUUACUUUAUCGUUAUCACGGAUGUUUUGGAUGAAUUACAUCGGUUGCUCGGGCUAACUUCAUUCAUUUGCAUAAAAUGUCUGCGACUGAUGAGUACUGUUGCUAGGCGUUACAAAGAGAGAAGUUCCGGAAGAUCUGCCUACAAAAGAAAGAAACCCAGCAACUGGUACUCGCCGGUCCAAAAUAACAGCGAUCGGAGAGUACAGCUGAAAAGUUCUAGCGAAACAGAAAGAAUGGGUGACAAAACAAGUGAGCAAACUGACAAAGCCGCAACUUCAGGCAGCAAUUACGAGGCCAAUCGAAACGGAGCCAGUGCGUGUGCUGCUUGUUUUAGCAGCCCCGGGCAAUCAACCUGGAGAUGGUGCCCACGAGACCAAGAAAAGGAUUAAACUCCACGCUGGUAUGUGUGCGGCAACUGCCGGGACAUGCCAACAAAAAGAGAAAGAGUUUUUGGGAAGUUCGUCUUUCUUAUACUGCUUUAAAAUCUUUUCGAAACUAAAAUUCAACAUGUAUCUAAGACACUAGUGUAACUAAACGUUAAGUAAAGUAGUUAUAGAUCAACAAUUUUAUUAAAUGUCAUGUGUCAUUAGAAAAUAAUUGUACAUUAUUUAAUACUGCUGGUCAGUUCUUGAGAUUUUUACUGAGAAAUGGAUACCUGAUAACUCAUUUUCUAUUGAUUACUGCUAACGUAGUCUUGUGAAGUUUCAAAAAACCGCAUUCUGAGUAUCAUCAUAAUGCUUUAAAUAGCUUAACAUGCAUGUAGUCACACACAGAUAGAACAAAUUGAAUUGUUGGACGAUAUGAAAUAUGGGCAGUUUUCUUGUAUUAAACAGUUGUAAAAUAUUUUAAAUGCUGGCACAGUUUGUCUCUAUACCAAGUAAUUAAAAAUACUGAUACUAUUGUUAAAGUGAGUACUGAGUAUUGCUGAGUACUUGCUUGAAAAUUUGUACUGAAGUAAGAAUGCUGUAAAUUAGCUCAUCCCUGAAUAUUUCUUAUUUAAAAUCUUAGCCUAAGUAUCUUCGAUUAAUGCCAGUGGCUUAUGAUAUACCUUUCCUCUUAAAGGACUUUGACCUCCUUGUUUUGAACAAGGGGGUUCUAGCCCUAACCCGUUGGAUGAGGCAAGAUAUCUUCGUGUUUACUGAAGGGGAGGACCUGCGAUGAUCCAACCACCAUCAGGCUCACAGAUAAUUUGUAUUGUUGACGCAUGGUUAUUUUGGGGCUGGUGACAAGAGAGAAUUCCCUCAUGUGGUGCAUGGAGAAUCCGGGAAACUUUCCCUGAUCCAUAUGGACAAAGCACUGGCUUUGUGCCAGGUCGGGUUCCGUCGAUGAACACAACUACUGCAUAAACUAUCAAGGAUCUCUAAUCAUUUUUAAAAUGUUAAAGUAAAAUGAUAUUAAAACAUAAUGAUCAUGUCAUGUUUAUGUAUAUUAUUGUAUAUGACUUGUUUUCCAAAUACGAAUUUGAACUGUCCUUGAUUGCUAAAAUGUCAUUAACUGAUCAUCCUUAUUUCGAUUUGUAUGCCAGAAAUCCUGUAUUUUAUGUAUAUUCAUGUUAUUGUGAAUAUUUUCUUUUCUGCGCAAAAGCUGUUUUAAAUGAUACUUAAGUGAUAUGUCGGUUUGCAUACAACUUGCACAUGUUUAAACUGUGCCUGAUACCUUUGUCAGCCUUGUUUAGAAACAAUCAAAUGGACUUAUGGCAGGCCUUUAUUUGAUGCUGCCCAUUACUUAAGGCCAAAAAAACCCCUGUUUUUCCGAUAACCCGACCGACCUUAUUUUUUUCCUCGCCGACCCUAUUUUUUUACGGCAUAAAUGUUAAAAUUUCAAAACUAUAUAUAUCGUCGUUAUGUUCGUUGUUUCUCUGUCCCGGAUCCUAUGCGAUCCGGAGAAUAAACUUUCAUUCCUGAUAUGUAUGACAGAGACGCUUUGUCAACAGCAAAACAAAAUGGCGGUGUGAAUACUGUCUGUGGAAUGUCCGCAUUUUUCGGGCAUAUAUGCUUAAGAUCUUUUCUCAACAGCAUUGAACUUUUAAGCGGAGGUCGGCGAACAUUUCACCCUGUCCGAUAUCUUAUAAUAGGCAAACUCUUGUUAUCGGUCCAUACGCGUUAUUUAUCACAGAAGACACAUUUUGCUGCCGUGAUCUUGAAAUUUUCGGAUAUUGUUCGCGGUGUUAUUUAUCCAUGUCCGAAAUACACUAACUUCUUUCUAACGAUUAGGCUUUGCGUGUAUCAUGCAGGCCAACUGCCAGGUUUCAAUACACAUUUCAUUAAUCGUUACCAUAAUUUAUCCGCAAUUAUCAAUUUCUAUUUAUUUCGCCUAAUUUAAGUCCCAUCAACUGAUAUUCAAACAAACAACUGCGAAAGUUAACUUAUUAACACAUGUUUUGGAAUGAGUCGGCUGUAGAUCAAACAGUACUAUUUGUGACGCCUGAGCACGAGUGGUGAUUAGAUGAAAGGCGCGCGGAAAUGGUUUGUAUUUAAAUCGGUCAGUCGGAUACUGUUUUAUCUCAUUUUACUUCCAAGAGUUCGUCUAGACUGGUUAGAAAAUGCCAUUCGAUCGAAAAAGAAUCAGUAAUAAUCAAUUACCGAGACCUUUCAAGUCAUGACCGAAAUGUUUGAAUUCACUAUUAAUAUGAAUGAAUCUUUGAUUGUACGAAAAUAAGAUACGUAAAAUAAAUCCAUAACCGCGUUACCUUGUUCGAUUAUUAACCUCGCUCACAGUUAAGAAGAAAAUCGGCGAUUUUCUUCAAGCAAAUUAACAAAUUAGGUUGAUAAUUGACUGUUUGGCUUGAACAUUAUCACAGUUUUGGAGUAAGUGAAGCGCUGGACUUGCUUUAAAAAUCGACCAAGUCUUAGAAACGAAUCUGUACAAAAACACCAGAUUUUUCCCAAAAAGAAAAACAACAGGUAAAUAACUGAAACAAAACCAUGAAGAUCCCACAAUUUUUAUAUUUUGAAAGUAAAUAUCAACAGAUGAAUUAUGUGGCUUCUGUAAAUUUGUAGACAAAACUUUUCUUGAAAACACUAGUCAAUUUGCUACACCAUAAAAGACCAAACCACAGCACUGUACUGAAAUGGUCAUAAAAUGUUUUUUAAGGGUAACAUCCCUAAAAUUAUAAGGCAGGUAAGGUAGAAAUUUUAUUGAAAAAACAACAACAACAUUUACUUUAUGUUAAGAUCAUUUUAUUUGCAAACAACACCAUUUCAUGCAAGAGUCACUUAUAAAAUGCUGUUGUUAUGGAGGUAUUUUAUGUUUUGAAGACAUUGAAGAAUAAACUCUAAUCAUUUUCAUGUUAAGUAAUAAUCUAUUUUAAAAACUCUUCAAUCGGUCGAACACAUAAUUAUGUAAGUAGAUUAAGUGAACCCGAGUAACUGUUUGCUAAAUAAUCCGAAACACUCUUGAUAACGAUAGAGUUCACUUGUUCACCGCCAACUCUUCUAUAAAUGUAAUUUGCAUGGUUUACAUUUAAUAAAGAAGAAAGACAUCUUGUCAAGUACUCUUGAUAGCAAUCAAUUAAAAUAUGUAUCAUUGUUGACCCCUCUGUAACUUGAAACUAUAUGGCAUAUAUGAACUAUCAAAGUAAAAGCUUGAAUAACGUGAAAAUUGAUAUUUCUAGCACAAAAUUAUACAAAAUGAUCUGUUUGCUUCUCUCACUAUGCUUAUAUCAAUUGAAACACGUUUAGAACAUAUACGACGAGAAUCUUAUUAGUUAGACCCUGGUUGUCAUUAAUCAAAUAUGUGUUAAAUGAUAUAUAUUGGUAUGCAAUUUAAAUUACACUGAUACUGACACAUAAAACCAUAACGGCACUUGACCAUGACAUUUUUAGUAAAUGAUAUAAAUACGUUUACAUAAAUCAAGGAUUUAUUUAAAAAAAAAAGAUAUUUAUAAUUGAAUGAUAAUUCAAUACUAUACAAAUAGAGAUGGAAACGGAGAGAAACGCAAUAGUUGUUUGCGCAAGUACGAUCAAAUUUGCUUAGAAAGUAUAGUGAUGAUUUAUUAUUUUUUACUGCAAUAAAGUUUUCUUCAUUAGGUCAUCCAUAGGAUACAAUUUGGUAUUGUUUUUCUGUUCUUUUAAUCAACGGUGUAGAAUGUCAUCAAUACAAUAAAAAGGUUACCUAUCAAAAUGUCGUCACCGUCUGUGCAGAAGCUGAUUAAUGGCAGUGGUGUUUGAUAACUUUGUCGUACCAUCUAUGACCGACGUCCAACAUAUUCUGUUAAAGGAAUACCGGUUGCCUUAUCCUUCAUUUCCCGCAAUAGGAUUUUUUAUGAUGCUAGUGGUUUUGAUAUGAUUGGGUAAUUUCUGGCAUAAAAAAUGUCUUUAUAUUUCAACAAUCCUCAUAUACCUCGUUUGUUUGUAUCACAUACCAAGGAUAAUCAGUGUUUGCAAAAAGUAAAUUUACAAUAUCUCUAUCAUAUUUCGUUAAAAAGUAAUUGUUAUGAAAAUCAUACACAAGGUACUUAUUGAAUUCAAGAAUAGCCAUACAAACAUAGUAGGACGAUUAUAUCGUAACAGUUCUUUUAGUGUAUUUAAUGCGAAUAGAUUCUUUAGCUGUCGCGAACAACGCGAAAUACCAGACUUUUAUUUUAAUAUGAGUUGGUUAAAUAUACAAUACUUUUGAGAUUGAUUCUUUUGUUAUACAGAUGUUAUAUGGUUAUCAUAUGUUUAAACUUUAAUUUGUAUUAUCUUAAGCUUUUUACAAUAUUACAGUAACAUCGUUUGAGUAUAACAUUUUUUAUUUGCACCGUUGACCUUGUAACUAAUCGCUAUGAGUCUACCGGUGUUUUUCACACGCACGAAUUCGUGUUACCCACAAUACUCGUGCCCUUCAUGUUAGUUUUGGCGUUAAAUAAUAGUAUAAAAGG